GGACUCACAUGCCCUGUGAAAAUUACCAUGAAAAUGAAAUGUACAUAAAAAACAAAACAAAACCAGUAGGAGAUGAGAGGAGAGAAUGGUUUAAAUUAAAUAUCAAGAUAUAUCUUUCUGUAGCAUUUUUUGAUUGGAUGAUAACUGCAAAGUCCCCACACAAGAAAUGUCAAUAUUUAUCCUAUGGCUUCCAAUAAUGAAUUGAAAUCUUAGAUAUAUGGGGAAUUUCUACAAUC